AUUGAACGCUGGCGGAAUGCUUUACACAUGCAAGUCGAACGGCAGCACGGACUUCGGUCUGGUGGCGAGUGGCGAACGGGUGAGUAAUGUAUCGGAACGUGCCCAGUCGUGGGGGAUAACGUAGUGAAAAUUACGCUAAUACCGCAUACGAUCUAUGGAUGAAAGCGGGGGAUCGCAAGACCUCGCGCGAUUGGAGCGGCCGAUAUCAGAUUAGGUAGUUGGUGGGGUAAAGGCCCACCAAGCCAACGGUCUGUAGCUGGUCUGAGAGGACGAACAGCCACACUGGAACUGAGAAACGGUCCAGACUCCUACGGGAGGCAGCAGUGGGGAAUUUUGGACAAUGGGCGAAAGCCUGAUCCAGCCAUGCCGCGUGCAGGAUGAAGGCCCUCGGGUUGUAAACUGCUUUUGUACAGAACGAAAAGGUUUCUACUAAUACUAGGAGCUCAUGACGGUACUGUAAGAAUAAGCACCGGCUAACUACGUGCCAGCCGCCGCUGUAA
rnacentral:rRNA from 1 species